AGAUGAAAUUGCAAGGUUUGGGGGACUCAUUGCAUUCAUUCAGAUCUAAAAUAAGAAAAAUCAGAUAACAAUCAGAGAUCAACAAGCUCACAACAGUGAGCCCGAUUCUCUGCUCACCAUGAGCAAUUCAUCAACAGCAGUGCAAGCUAGUUGUACAGACAGCCACAUCCAGAUUUUCUACUUACUGCCCAGAUGUGUGAACACCUGUACAGCAAAACGAUGUAUGAGUAGCACGGAUGAUCCAGUAUGCAGGAAAAGGCAUCAGACAUGCCAGCAUGUUGGCACAGCUACCUGAAGUCUCAAUAUCUCCAAAGACAAACAGCCACGCAAAUGAUUUCCAGAUCAAUGUUGCCAAAAUGCUGUAAGUUAAAACUGUAUCUUUUUCUCUUCUAGGCUCAAUUUUUAUUAUUUACUUAUUUUUAAAUUCUAGAUUCACUAAUUCAGCUUCUUCAUACACUGAAUUCCUUAAAACAUUGCUCUUACUAGAAAGUGCAUUUACAUACACUCUGGGCUACUUGAAUAAUUACUGUCACAUAAUGAUGUUUACACUCUACUAACUCCUCUGCAAUUUGAGCUUUUGACCAAAUUCCACAGGGAAGUAAACGAAGCUCUAACUGUAUAUAAAACUAAUGUGAGUUGAUGCAAAAAUAGAACCAUUCGUUUGUAUGGCUUUGCAAACUAGACUGUGGCAGAUAAUUGAAGAACAGCUGUGUCAGGUCAGAUAAGAGUGUCAGAAUGUCCUAGGACAUUCUCCUCUCUCUGGCUAUAACUUAAGGGGAAAAGUAUUUAAAAAAAUGCACCAUGUAUGCAGAGAUCUUUCCCCUGAUACAGCCUCUCAGUUUAAGGACUCCCAUAGCCAAAAGCCACAUCCAAACUAUCAAGCUUAAUUUCCACUGAUGGAUUCCCACACAAAUUUGUGCAAACUCCUUCUGGAUCAAUUUAUAUUUGUGGCCUCUCUAAUGUUCUGCAGCAAAGAGUUUCACUACUUAAGUAAGCACUAUACAUAUAAAAAUGUUUGCUUUGGUUUGUCUAACAUGUUCCCUCUAGUUCUGGUACCCUUACCACUUGUGGCUUUAUAAAUUUAAAUCAUAUAUCUCUUCAACCACAUUUACCACACUGAAAGAUUCUGAUUAAUUUUCUGUGUGCUCCUUCUACAACUCUGAUCUUCCUUAUUGCUCCCUUCUUUGUACGCUUUCACUUUCUAAUUUCUGAAAUAAGAGACCGAAGCAUGAAAAAUAUUCAGCAUAGGAGUACCACAGUAAUUUUAUAGUACUGAGCUAACGGUGUCUGUUUCUUCUGUUUCUUUCCUAACAAA